GACGAACGCUGGCGGCGUGCUUAACACAUGCAAGUCGAACGAAGUGGCGAACGGGUGAGUAACGCGUAAUCAACCUGCCCUUCAGAGGGGGACAACAGUUGGAAACGACUGCUAAUACCGCAUACUGAAGGAGGGGAUUGCGUCGGAUUAGCUAGUUGGAGGGGUAACGGCCCACCAAGGCGAUGAUCAGUAGCCGGUCGUGUGUGAGGAACGGCCACAUUGGGACUGAGAAACGGCCCAGACUCCUAAGGGAGGCAGCAGGGGGGAAUCUUCCGACAUGGACGGAAGGCUGACGGAGCAACGCCGCGUGAGUGAUGACGGCCUUCGGGUUGUAAAGCUCUGUUAAUCGGGACGCGGUACCGGAAUAGAAAGCCACGGCUAACUACGUGCCAGCAGCCGCGGUAAUUC
rnacentral:rRNA from 1 species